rnacentral:rRNA from 1 species
AGAGUUUGAUCAUGGCUCAGAUUGAACGCUGGCGGCAGGCCUAACACAUGCAAGUCGAACGGUAACAGGAAACAGCUUGCUGUUUCGCUGACGAGUGGCGGACGGGGGAGUAAUGUCUGGGAAACUGCCUGAUGGAGGGGGAUAACUACUGGAAACGGUAGCUAAUACCGCAUAACGUCGCAAGACCAAAGAGGGGGACCUUCGGGCCUCUUGCCAUCGGAUGUGCCCAGAUGGGAUUAGCUAGUAGGUGGGGUAACGGCUCACCUAGGCGACGAUCCCUAGCUGGUCUGAGAGGAUGACCAGCCACACUGGAACUGAGACACGGUCCAGACUCCUACGGGAGGCAGCAGUGGGGAAUAUUGCACAAUGGGCGCAAGCCUGAUGCAGCCAUGCCGCGUGUAUGAAGAAGGCCUUCGGGUUGUAAAGUACUUUCAGCGGGGAGGAAGGGAGUAAAGUUAAUACCUUUGCUCAUUGACGUUACCCGCAGAAGAAGCACCGGCUAACUCCGUGCCAGCAGCCGCGGUAAUACGGAGGGUGCAAGCGUUAAUCGGAAUUACUGGGCGUAAAGCGCACGCAGGCGGUUUGUUAAGUCAGAUGUGAAAUCCCCGGGCUCAACCUGGGAACUGCAUCUGAUACUGGCAAGCUUGAGUCUCGUAGAGGGGGGUAGAAUUCCAGGUGUAGCGGUGAAAUGCGUAGAGAUCUGGAGGAAUACCGGUGGCGAAGGCGGCCCCCUGGACGAAGACUGACGCUCAGGUGCGAAAGCGUGGGGAGCAAACAGGAUUAGAUACCCUGGUAGUCCACGCCGUAAACGAUGUCGACUUGGAGGUUGUGCCCUUGAGGCGUGGCUUCCGGAGCUAACGCGUUAAGUCGACCGCCUGGGGAGUACGGCCGCAAGGUUAAAACUCAAAUGAAUUGACGGGGGCCCGCACAAGCGGUGGAGCAUGUGGUUUAAUUCGAUGCAACGCGAAGAACCUUACCUGGUCUUGACAUCCACGGAAGUUUUCAGAGAUGAGAAUGUGCCUUCGGGAACCGUGAGACAGGUGCUGCAUGGCUGUCGUCAGCUCGUGUUGUGAAAUGUUGGGUUAAGUCCCGCAACGAGCGCAACCCUUAUCCUUUGUUGCCAGCGGUCCGGCCGGGAACUCAAAGGAGACUGCCAGUGAUAAACUGGAGGAAGGUGGGGAUGACGUCAAGUCAUCAUGGCCCUUACGACCAGGGCUACACACGUGCUACAAUGGCGCAUACAAAGAGAAGCGACCUCGCGAGAGCAAGCGGACCUCAUAAAGUGCGUCGUAGUCCGGAUUGGAGUCUGCAACUCGACUCCAUGAAGUCGGAAUCGCUAGUAAUCGUGGAUCAGAAUGCCACGGUGAAUACGUUCCCGGGCCUUGUACACACCGCCCGUCACACCAUGGGAGUGGGUUGCAAAAGAAGUAGGUAGCUUAACCUUCGGGAGGGCGCUUACCACUUUGUGAUUCAUGACUGGGGUGAAGUCGUAACAAGGUAACCGUAGGGGAACCUGCGGUUGGAUCACCU